rnacentral:rRNA from 1 species
CUACGGGGUGCUGCAGUGGGGAAUAUUGCGCAAUGGGGGAAACCCUGACGCAGCGACGCCGUGUGAGUGAUGAAGGUUUUCGGAUCGUAAAGCUCUGUCAGGUGGGAAGAAUAAAGGCUGUGUAAAUAAUGCAGUCUGAUGACGGUACCACCAGAGGAAGCACCGGCUAACUCCGUGCCAGCAGCCGCGGUAAUACGGAGGGUGCAAGCGUUGUUCGGAAUUACUGGGCGUAAAGCGCGUGUAGGCGGGUAUGCAGGUCAGAUGUGAAAUCCCUCGGCUCAACCGAGGAAGUGCAUCUGAAACCGUAUGUCUUGAGUACGAGAGAGGUAGAUGGAAUUCCCAGUGUAGAGGUGAAAUUCAUAGAUAUUGGGAAGAACACCGGUGGCGAAGGCGGUCUACUGGCUCGAUACUGACGCUGAGACGCGAAAGCGUGGGGAGCAAACAGGAUUAGAUACCCGUGUAGUC